CAACCUCAACUCAUAUGGGACUACCCCCUGAAUUUAAGCAUAUUAAUUAGGGGAGGAAAAGAAACUAACAAGGAUUUUCUUAGUAGCGGCGAGCGAAAAGAAAUCAGUUCAGCACUAAGUCACUUUGUCUAUAUGGCAAAUGUGAGAUGCAGUGUACGGAACAU
rnacentral:ncRNA from 1 species